CCUAUCCCUGAAAGAGUUAAUCAAACAGCAUUAAUAUGCCAUUGGAAUGUUGUUUUUUUUUCUUUUUCUUUUAGGAACGGGAGAGGAUUUACCUUGGUUUUAAAAAGAAAAACCACCACAAAGUUGUCCAUGCUGUCAGUGGCACUUGUUCGAGAUUUGCAUUGCUGACUACCGACCCCAAAAGAGUUAACCGAGUAGGUGUGACUAAGCAGCAGAGAAAAAGAUGCAAUCGUGAGAGGUUUGGAACCAAAGCAAAAAAACGGAGGUGAGGAGCAUUAAUAAAAACAAGAAAAGGGCAGAGGUGCAGAGUCCAGCAGUGACUGACUUUCUUGAUUUGACUGGCCCUGGCAUUGUUGGCAUCAGCUCUCCUGGGAAAGCUGCAGUUCCGCUGUUAUAACACAGGGAGCAGCCUGGAGAAUUUUGAGCUGCGUCACAGAGCUCUGAGAGAGAGAGUGAGUGUGAGAGAGAGAGCAAGCUCCCUCGAUAGGUCUACUAGCAACAGCCCUGCUGCAGCAAGGGGGGAGAGAGAGAGGCAGCAAGAGAGAGAGAGACAGAAGUAAUAACAUCAUGGACUGGGCUCCUGCAACCGGCCAGCUUAAUUUUUAAAAAAUUUAUUUUGGCUUAAUUGAUAUUGGAGGGUUCGCCCAUUGACGAUGCUGGAGACACGAUGCGUUUAAUCCCGCGGGGAGGGAGGGUGGGCAGACGUCGGAAGGGUUAACGGGAGGAAAAUUCUGGAACAUUCUAUUCUGCGGCGCUGCACAGCGAGCGAGCGAAGGGCUAAGGACUGCGCAGAUGUUUAACGGGCAGAGGUCUUCGGCUCGGGGUCCGUCUUUUCCACUUUCAGUUAUGCAAAGUAACAAAAAGCAAGGGAAGAAUGUGACAAACUCUUGGAGGUGGUUUGUUAUGUUAUUUAUGCAAAUAACACUGCCAGAACCAAGUAUUUCGUAGCUUGAAUUACUUCAGUGACAGAGAUCGAUCUUGGAAUAACUGUGCUCAUGCCCAGAGAGAGUUACCUUCCACAGCAGGGUGGACCAUCAACCACCUCCUGCAAGGUCAUUCUGCUGUCUCACCAUCAGCCACUAACAGUGCUGCCUGACCUCAUGGACAUCCUGUAUUAGAUGCUCAAGCAAGCCACAGACUUUGGAAAGAACCGCAUCAGCUAUCAGAGAUUCCUCUUUUCAUGAAAGGAAACUUGAUGAUGGUUACCAUACUGCAUGGUGCUAGCCAUAACUAUGGACUCUGGAAGAGGAAGGUGACGAGCAGAGGUAAUUUCCAGGGAAGGAAAGGAAGAAAAAUGAUCUGCAGAGAAAGAUAUGAGACAAUCCAAUGGCUGGAGGUUGAAGCUAGACUGAAAAUUCAGAAUGGAAAUAAGAUGUACAUUUUUAACAGAGAAUAGUUAACCAUUGGAACCACUUACUAAGGGUUGUGGUGGAUUCUUCAUUUUAAAAUCAAGAUGGGAUGUUUUUCUAAAAUAUGCUCUAGGAAUUAUUUUGAGGAAGUUCUAUGGUCAGUGUUAUACAGGAGGGCAAAAUAGAUGAUCACACUGAUCCCUUCUGGUCUUAGAAUCUAUGAAUUAUCUGUGACCAGAAAAAGUUUCAACUCCACCUAAUAAUUUUGUUGACUGGGGGGAAACAAAAAAGUGCAUUACUAGACCUGUUUGUAUUCAGGGAAUUGUGUCAAACUGACCCUGAUGAGCCAAGGUAGAGCCAAGCUCAGGGAUAAUAGUCCUAAAUUAUUUAUAUUAUCUUGCCUGGUACUGAUUUUGGAGUGACAGGCCUAUAAUGACCCAGAUUCCUCCUGUUAACCCUUUCUAAAUAAUGGCACAGUAUUCGCUUACUUCCAGUCUUCUAAAACUUCUCCGGUGUUCCAAAACUUACUGAAAAUCAAUAUUAAUGGUGCAGUGAGCCUCUCAGCCAGCUCUUUAAAAACUCUUGGAUGCAAGUUAACUGGACCUGCUGAUUCAAAAAUGUCUAACUUUAAUAGCUGCUAUUAACAUCCUCCUAUGAUACCAGUGAAAUGGAAAGUGUGUCGUCAUAUGGUGAGAUUGUUAUGGGUUUCCCCCCCCCAAUACAGAACAGAAAUAUUUAUUGAACACUUAUGCUUUUUUUGCCUUAUAUUGACCAAUUCUACCAUUUCCAUCUAGUAAUGGACCAGUACCUUUGUUAGGAUUCUUUUUUGUUCCCAAUAUACUUUUAAAUUCUUUCUUAUUGUCCUCACAUCUGCUGGUCAUAGACUACUCCUGGGGGAAUUCGACACCUAAAAAUAUUUUAAAAUGCUUCAAAUUUUAUUUGUCAAAAUAACACCACAUAAUCACGCCGGUUUCAAUUAUUUUGGUAAUUUAUUUCAAAAUACCUGUCAGCAAGUAUGUCUUUAAUAAAAAUUUCCCCAUGAGUAGAGAGUUAAAGAAACCCUUAUGACAACCCAGUUCCUGUUUCUCUGCCCCCCUCCCCCACAGAACCCAGCUAGGGGGCCAGAUAUCCACAACCCCUCCUGCCAGAGCCCAGCUGUGGCCCCCCCAGCCAAUACAUCCAAACUCCCUCCCCCCAGAGGUCAGAUGUGGGGCACCCCUUUUCCAGGUACCCGCACCCCCUACCUGCAGAGCCCAGCCACAGGGCCACCCCUAGCCCAGACACCUGCCCUCAGAGCCCAGGGAUCCAGAGGGAGAAACAGCCUGAUGCUUGGUCCCAGGCUUGUGUAGCGUUUCCUGUGCGCUGCCGUCUCCUUCUCUCAGAGCGGGCGGGGAACUGUGGCUGCCGGGUACCCUCCAGCUCCUCCUCCCCUUCCUCCUGGCAGUGUCUUCUAUGUGUGAGCUGGGCUCUGCCAGGUCCAGUGGCCCCUGGUGGUGGCUUGCAGCACUGCAGCCCAUUUCGGGGGGGGAGGAAAUUCUGCGUGCACAACAUUAAUUUCUGCAAAAUUCUGCAUUGUGCAGUGGCGCAGAAUUCCCCCAGAGUAAUACUUCUCCUUAUGACCCUUUGCUUCCAUUAUCAAUUUUCUACAAUUUCUAGCUUCUGAUUUAUAUUCAUUACUAUCAACUUCCCCUUUUUUCCAUUUGUUAUAACUUUUUGUAUUUUUUAUAGCUGCUGUCACUUCUUCCUUUCUAAACCAGGCAUUUUUUUAAUCAAUACGGCCUUCUUCCUCAAUUGCGGGAUUGUGGCUUUUUGGGAAUCUAGUAAAGUGUUUUUGAACAAUUCGCAAUAUCAUUCACUUUUUUCUGAUUAAAUUCCCACGCCUAGCUGAUUGAAGUUCUCUGUUGUCUCCUGGAUGUUGCCGGCUGUUUUCUUUAGUGGAGAUCUUUAUGAAAAACAGAAGGCACUGAAGGAAGCGAUGGUGGGGGUUGUUUUAAAUAGCCUCCUUGUCAAUCUUGGUCCUGUAACAUCAAUGGAAUGUAUCAGGAAUUUUCAUGAUCUGUUACAUAAAUUACUCUACACUUAGAUAUCUCAUUCUGCUCUGCAGAAAAGUGUUCUAUUGUUAACCUGUUGACUGAUUACUGACAUAGUUGGUGUAUUCUCUCCUAGUUGUACUUGAUACCAGCAGUCUCCCUGGAUAUCAGAAGUACAUUGUUUAACUCUUUGAUUCAUCUUUUCUUAAAAUUAUAUUUUUCAUUUAAUAACCCCUAGAUUUUUAGUUUUCGUGGGUAAUUUCUGUUCAAGCUUUUCAAAUUGUAUCUGCAGCACAAACAAUCUCAUCUAUCAGGAUUUCUAAAUCACAUGUUAUAAACCUUCCUGUAGCAACUAAAUAAUACUGCAACAAGUCUAGCAUGAACUACGUCGGCAGACCACUUUCUUGAUCCUGCUCCUGUUUUAUGUUUUAACCCUCAUCUAUUCCUCCCCUGUUUCUCAGGUUCUUUAGGGAAUGCUUUGGCAAAGAGGAGUGAAGACGUACAGAAGGAUCUAUAGAGGACAAGCAUGAAAUUAUUAUUUCUUUCAGGAUUGUGCUUCACAGCCUAGGACAGCUGUAAAGAAGGCUCUAUCUCCCACUCCCUCAGGUUUAUUUCUGGGCUUUUUUUGUGUGUUAAAUGGGCACAAGUGUGUCUUUAACAGAGGCAGGCAUUUAGGCUAGUUUGGGCUUGUCCCACUCAGCCAAGAAAGGGUUCAUCUUUUCUCUCCCAAGCCCAAGUGAAUGGUUUGUGUUUAAAAGUGAUCUGCUGAAACUUGAGGGGGUGGUAUUUUUUAUUGCAACGUAGAUGAAAUGAACUGACAAAUCUUAGUUUCAGGAUUUUGCAUUUCAGUGGUCUAACCCUCAACUAAGGAGAUGUUUUUAAUGGCUGAAAAGGGGCUGGUAGAGUUCCAGCUGGAAAAUCACUGGGAGAAGAAUGGAAUUAUACAAAAUAAUUUUAGUAAUCAGGCCCAGUUAUGUAUGGCUCUUCAUUACUUCAGCUUUUAGCAAACGAAACGGAGUGAUUCACCCAGAUUGGCAGAUUAGGUAGGAUAAAGGCAGCUAUUUUAAAAUAUACAUUUCUAGGAAGUAACUGAAUAGGGAGACUUUUGGAACUCUGGGAAAUGUUAUUUUGGGAUGGGCCUUAGGAGGAGUACCCAAACUGAAAAGCUAAGUGUUAUUUUGAACAUUAUUCAAAGCCAGUUUAAAAAACUUGAACCUUGCUUGGUUAGCCAGCGUGGAAGUAGUCACACCAUGUUGGAAAUGUGUUUUGUAAUGGUUUUUAUUGUUCUGAAGAAACUGGGUUGUCCUCCCCAAAUUAUAGAAUAUCAUUCAUUCCAUCAAGGUAUGAGAGCAACUGUAGUGUAUGAAAACAUAGACUCAAAUGCCUUUAACAUUAACAACGGGGUGAAAUGGGUGUCUCUUACUUAGCCUCUGGGCUCUUUAACAUCUACUACAUCAUUCCUUCUUCUUCAUGCAUUUAAGGACAGCAAUGAUGGCAUUUAUUUGCAAACUAGACUAGAGGGAGGCUUGUUCAAUAUCACUCAGUUUAGAGGGAAAGCCAAGGAGAGAAAGCUGGUUCUGAGAGAUUUCCCGUUUGCAGGAGACGCAGCCUUGGUUACCCACAGUCAAUCUUCCCUGAAAAAUCUCUUUGGUAGAUUUUCUGUGUUAUGCAAGAGCUUCGGCUCUUCGCCUUAACAAUUAGUUUCAAGAAGACUGAUUGUAUACUGAAGGGUGGAAGAACCAAUACCUGACAUCACUCUGGAGGGUAAAUCUCUUGGCAUCGUCAACAGCUUUUGCUAUGAUUGGCAGGAAUCUUGACCCUCAGACUGAGCUAACAGGAUUGGAAAAGCAGCUAAGAAUUUUGGGCUGUUAGUCAACAGUUUUCUGUUAUUCCAUGCACGUUUCUCUGAGGUGAAGAUGCGAAUCUACGAGAGCACUUGUGUGCUGUCAGAAAUGUGGGCUACAUGUGGUAGGCACAGCAGGAGACUGAAUAGCUGCCACAUGAGAUGCCUACACAAGAUCCUGGAAAUUAAGUGGGAAGACAAAAUACCAAACACAGAAGUGCUGGAGUGUGCAGGACUGACACACAGAAACCACUAUCAAGAAGAGGAGGUUGCGAUGGCUCAGUCAUGUCGGAAGACUGGGAGGAGACCGUAUCCCCAAGAAUAUUUUGUAAAGCGAGUUUUGAGAUGGCUCUAAAUAGUGGUCGCCUUUUAUGGUAGUACCACAAUGUGUGCAAAAAUUAUGUGAAGUCGUUCAACAUCAGCGUAGAAAGCUGGGAGGAGUGAGCAGAACCCUGUCCAAUCUGGAGGGACACUCUGGCAAUGGGUGCAGCUCCUCAUGAAGCAGCUUUGACCCAGAGGAUGAAAGCAAAGUGAGAAAGAAGGAAGUGUGCUGUAAUCUUGGACUCCAACUCAGACAACGCCUGGAUCUGAAAUUUGUAACAAGCUGUGUCACGCUCGCAUUGGACUUGUCAGCCAUAAGUUGAUUCAUCAAGGCACAUGACUGGAUCAGUGGUUGCCUAUGGUAGGUCAGUGUGGAUGGAUCUGAACAAUGUUCUGUCAAACGCUAUAAUACUUCCUUUUAGUUGGAAGUGUCUUCAGUUUAAACAGCUGCAAACGUGGUUUAAAGAUAGGAGCCUACCCGCAUUGGGCUAAUGAUCCUUACAUGCUGUUUGGCUCUUUUCAGUUUCCAGGACAAGCAGGGGCUCAGUAAUAGAAGAGUAUUUAAUGCUGUCCUAUUCACGAACCUACAUUUUGAGACCGUGACCAUUUUGCAACAACAAAAAAAUUGACUUAACGUUCUGUAGUUAAGACGGUGUCCAUUAAGGACAAAGAGUGAUUAGUAAUAGGAUAUUUUGGGAGACGGGAGAGAUUCCAGAAGACUGGAAAAGGGCAAAUAUAGUGCCCAUCUAUAAAAAAAAAAAAAAAAAAAAAGGAAAUAAAAACGACCCAGGAAACUACAGACCAGUUAGUUUAACUUCUGUGCCAGGGAAGAUAAUGGAGCAAGUAAUUAAGGAAAUCAUCUGCAAACACUUGGAAGGAAGAUGGUAAGGUGAUAGGGAAUAGCCAGCAUGGAUUUGUAAAGAACAAAUCCUGUCAAACCAAUCGGAUAGCUUUCUUUGAUAGGAUAACGAGUCUUGUGGUUAAGGGAGAAGCUGUGGAUGUGGUAUACCUAGACUUUAGUAAGGCAUUUGAUACAGUCUCGCAUGAUAUUCUUAUCGAUAUACUAGGCAAAUACAAUUUAGAUGGGGCUACUAUAAGGUGGGUGCAUAACUGGCUGGAUAACCCUACUCAGAGAGUUGUUGUUAAUGGUUCCCAAUCCUGUUGGAAAGGCAUAACGAGUGGGGUACCACAGGGGUCUGUUUUGGGACCGGCGCUGUUCAAUAUCUUCAUCAACGACUUAGAUAUUGGCAUAGAAAGUACACUUAUUAAGUUUGCAGAUGAUACCAAACUGGGAGGGAUUGCAACUGCUUUGGAGGACAGGGUCAUAAUUCAAAAUGAUCUGGACAAAUUGGAGAAAUGGUCUGAGGUAAACAGGAUGAAGUUUAACAAAGACAGAUGCACAGUGCUCCACUUAGGAAGGAGAAAUCAAUUUCACACAUACAGAAUGGGAAGAGACUGUCUAGGAAGGAGUACAGCAGAAAGGGAUCUAGGGGUUAUAGUGGACCACAAGCUAAAUAUGAGUCAACAGUGUGAUGCUGUUGCAAACAAAGCAAACAUAAUGCAUCCCAGAAUCAACAGGUGUGUUGUGAAGUCAUUCUUCCGCUCUACUCUGUGCUGGUUAGGCCUCAACUGGAGUAUUGUGUCCAGUUCUAGGCACCACAUUUCAAGAAAGAUGUGGAGAAAUUGGAGAGGGUCCAGAGAAGAGCAACAAGAAUGAUUAAAGGUCUUGAGAACAUGACCUACGAAGGAAGGCUGAAAGAAUUGGGUUUGUUUAGUUUGGAAAAGAGAAGACUGAGAGGGGACAUGAUAGCAGUUUUCAGGUAUCAAGGAGGGAGGAAACUUGUUCAUCUUAGCCCCUAAGGAUAGAACAAGAAGCAAUGGGCUUAAACUGCAGCAAGAGAGGGUUAGGUUGGACAUUAGGAAAAAGUUCCUAAUUGUCAGGGUGGAAUAAAUUGCCUAGGGAGGUUGUGGAAUCUCCAUCUCUGGAGAUAUUUAAGAGUAGGUUAGAUAAAUGUCUAUCAGGGAUGGUCUAGACAGUAUUUAGUCCUGCCAUGAGGGCAGGGGACUGGACUCGAUGACCUCUCGAGGUCCCUUCCAGUCCUAGAAUCUAUGAACUCUCAGUGCUUUUCUCAUAGCCCUUAAUUAUUUUUCUGGUACUGAGCAUUGUUCCCAUGAAAUCUUUUUUGAAGACUGCAAAGCUGUUUUCCGCCCCCAGAAGGUCAGUCCGUGGAACUGCAGACCUCUAGCCAGCAAGAUCAGAUGGACAGAUGUACUUCCUGUACCUAUGCUUUCUUCUUUAAAAACGGAUUUGCAUUCCUGGCAAAUCGCACAUGCAGAACUAGUAAACACCUAUGACUCUGUCUUUACAAAAGCUACAUCUGCAUCAGCAUGUCUGUAUUUAUAAGUACGUUGGUUUAAAAAAAAAUCCUGUGACAGGUGUAAUCACAAGUAAAAAAACAAAAAUAUGGGCCUAUUUUCACUAUUAUUGAAAGGAAGAGGGUGUGGCUGUACACACAUCUGGAUAUGAGACUGAGUGUUUACCCAGCACGUGGCAGCUAGCCUUCUGAAGUGUAAACAAACACUUACUAGAGGAUGAAAUCCUUCCGUCUCUGUAGCAUAUCCACCCCCUUUGUUGUCCAUAGUGAGGCUUUGGUUGGCUUAACUGUGUCUCUCAGGGGUGUGGAUUUUUCACACCCUUGAGUGAUGUACCUAGGUUGGCCUAAGCGUUAGGUGUAGACCAAGCCUCAGCCUGAAAUAAGGGACAAAGGCAAUGGAGGGGUUUGAAUGCCUCAGCUCAAAGUUUGGUGGUAUGUAAUAUGGAACAAGAAUCCUGUAACAACAUUUAGACUAAAAGAAGUGUGGAUAUUUACAUUGCAUGACCGUGAUAUUAGCUUGCCAUGCUAUUCAUUUUCUUUACGUACUGUACUUCCUAUAUAUGUUAAAUGGAUAACUCCUCACUUAAUGUCAUUUCGCUUAAAGUCGCAUUUUUCAGGAACAUAACUACGUUAAGUGAAUACAUUUUCCCUAUAAGAAUUAAUGCAAAUAGGGGGGGUUAGCUUCCAGGGAAAAUUUUUUUUUUUUGCCAGACAAAAGGCAUUAUAUAAAUUUAAAACUUAUACCUGUAUUAAAUUGCUUGUUUAAAAUUGUUUAAAACAAUUCAAUACUACAAUCAUCAUUGCGAGUAUGAAGCUUGGGUUGAAGUGGCGGAGUCAGAGGGUGGAUUGUCCGGCUGCUCCUCUUGCUGAACUUUCUGAACUUGAAAAAACACAUCUAGAGAUUGUUUGUUUUGCUUUCCUUUUUUUUCUUCUUGGUAAAUUUCUUUAUAGCAAGACAUUAGAUGACCAACUCUCCCAAUCACUUGGGAGCUGCGUUCCGUCAGGAUCGUCAUCACUCAGGAUUUGCAAGUCAACCUUAACCCAUCUCUUCUCUCCCCCACCCCCUUUACUCUGCACAUUGCAUCCUUGCUCCUCUCUCCUGCCAGCAGCAAACCAGCUGAUUGCCCCUGGCAGGUGCGUGGGGGGCUGCCAGCUGUGGGCAAAGCAGGCAGCUAAACGAUGUUAUAGCGAAGCAUUGCACAACUUAUAUAUAUAUAUAUAUAUAUAUAUAUAUAAAAUGGAGCAGGGACGCAAGAUUGAAACAACGUUAAGUGAGAGGACGUUAAGCGGGGAGUUGUUACUGGAUUUGCUAUAAUUCCACUUUGAUUUUCUUAAAUCAGGUAUCUUGCCAUUUUGAUAAUACACCUCUACCCUGAUAUAACGCUGUCCUCAGGAGCCAAAAAAUCUUACCGCAUUAUAGGUGAAACCGUGUUCUAUCAAACUUGCUUUGAUCUGCUGGAGUGCGCAGCCCCACUUUACCGUGUUAUAUAUAGACUUAUAUCCGAAUUCGUGUUUAUCAGGGGUACUUAUAUCUGACAUUCUAUAUGAUGACUAAUGCUGUUAUCUAAAGACUAAAGUUUGUCAGCACUUGCCAGUUUGCUCCCACAGCUGUGGCGUAUCGACUGCUGUAAUUUUAAAAAAAGCUUUUUUUUUUUUAUAGACUUUGAAGGCGUCUGUUUUUCUGUCUUAGAUGGUGGCCAUGCAGAGAUGUCUUCUUCUGGAAGCUGGUUUCACAUGGUGGCUUAGAUUUUCCCAUCUUUGUAUCUAGCACCAUUUGAAAUCAGUGUUCUAGGAGCAAGAAUUGCAGCAUGGGAAAAGAAGAUCCAAGAAGCAGCUUGCUAACUUCAUCAAAUGGGUCAACGAUUCAAGUUAGUUUUAGCCUGGUAAAUAACCAAACUGACACACACACAAGGGAUGCUUCAAAACUUGCCACUCAGGCUAUCUGUUUUACAAAUCCAACACUCAUAUUUAGAGUUGUUGCAAGGAAGAACUGCUUUAGAAUGUAUUUUUACCCAAUUAAGGAUAUGAGUAAUCCACAAAGGUACUUACUGAUUUCAAUAGGUUUUAAGUGUUUUCACUAUAGACACUUUUGAAGGAUGAGGAUCCACAAAGGUAACUUAAGCACUUAUUUAGCAGGUUGUGAAUACUGAAGAGCGAUUAGUACUAUAUCUAGAUAAGCAAUAUGGGAAGCUUAAGUGACUGGUAUGAUGGGUAACUUCAUAUAUCCAUUAGUGCCAUAAUAAAUCAUGGCAUUCAUUUUAGGGCCUGUUUUUCAGUAGUGAUAAAGUCAGUAAGAACUACAGGUACUCAGCAAGUCCUGAAAUUAUAACCCCUUCUCUUACCAGUAGGUGAUGGAAGCUCAUGUACCGAAUAUCAAGCUAUUUUCUUGAAAAAAGAAAGAUGUUACUGUUUAAAAAACAAAAAUUCAAGGACUACUUCUUUCCAAUAGCUCCUGUGACAAGUAAAGCCAUAACCCUCCCAUAUUUAAUGCAGACCACUGAAGAUACUGAGUUCUAAGGUAGUUUGAAGAAACUAGCCUGACUAUUUUUCAGAGGCUUGUGUGUCCAGAAGCAUCCAGUCAAACCAUUGGUACAGCAGUUUUUUCCUCAAACGGACCUGUGGCUGUGACAACCCCCCCUUCUUUGAGCUGGGAAAAUCUCUCUUACACAGGCUGACCGAUCUCUCUUGGUGUUCAGAGUUUCAGUUUUUGUCUAGCACCAUUUGAAAUCGGUUAUGAUGUAGGGGGAAAAGCAACACUAUAGGUGCUUGUGGAGAGGGGAAAAACUGAGUUUCCAUUAUUCACAUCAUGGAGAUCCCAAAAUGCUGUCAGCAAAAGUAUCAUCUUGCUCUGUGUGUAUUAAUGUAAUAUUUGUGCUUGUAUUCUGUUGAACUGGAAGGAAUAGGGUUUGGUUCACCCACAUGGUAGUGCAGAUUCUUCCUGUUCAGUGGACAAGGAGGUGCUGCUGUGUAUAUUCUAAAAUAAAAAAAUAAAAAAAACUA